rnacentral:rRNA from 1 species
CCUACGGGAUGCAGCAGUGGGGAAUAUUGCGCAAUGGGCGAAAGCCUGACGCAGCGACGCCGCGUGAGGGAUGAAGGUCUUCGGAUCGUAACCCUCUGUCAGCAGUGAAGAACGGUCACUGUGCUAAUCAGCAGUGAAUUGACGGUACCUGCAAAGGAAGCACCGGCUAACUCCGUGCCAGCAGCCGCUGUAAUACGGAGGGUGCGACCGUUAAUCGGAAUUACUGGGCGUAAAGCGCUCGUAGGCGGUAUGUCAAGUCAAGGGUGAAAUCCCCGCGCUCAACGUGGGAACUGCAUUUGAAACUGGCAAACUGGAGUGUGGGAGAGGAUAGUGGAAUUCCAGGUGUAGGGGUGAAAGCCGUAGAGAUCUGGAGGAACAUCAGUGGCGAAGGCGACUAUCUGGCACAUAACUGACGCUGAGGAGCGAAAGCGUGGGUAGCAAACAGGAUUAGAUACCCCUGUAGUC